rnacentral:rRNA from 1 species
UACGGGGGGGGCAAGCGUUGUUCGGAAUUACUGGGCGUAAAGGGCUCGUAGGUGGCCAACUAAGUCAGACGUGAAAUCCCUCGGCUUAACCGGGGAACUGCGUCUGAUACUGGAUGGCUAGAGUUUGGGAGAGGGAUGCGGAAUUCCCGGUGUAGCGGCGAAAUGCGCAGAUAUCGGGAGGAACACCCGUAGCGAAGGCGGCACUCUGGGCCGGUACUGACGCUGAGGAGCGAAAGCGUGGGGAGCAAACAGG